ACCGCAAGGAACCGCCUAGGGUAAAAUCGGUAAUUGGGGCUAAGUCGUAACAAGGUAGCCGUAUCGGAAGGUGCGGCUGGAAUACCUCCUUU
rnacentral:rRNA from 1 species